rnacentral:lncRNA from 12 species
AGGUACUGGCUGGCACAGCAAUGUUCUCCUUCCCAUUCUAAUGCUGUUCGUAUUAGUACCAGCUGCCACUGGGCUUCCCCUGACAGCUCACUCCAAUACUUUCCAUGCAGGCUGUCAUUAUCCAUCUUGUUUCUUACGGUAAUGGAAAAAAUUCUAAUGAUUCUUCAUUAUGUAUGAUGCCAGAUUUUGGUCAGAGUUCCAUUUCUGAUUAUUACUUAUUUUUGAAGGAGGGUAGUCUGGUCACAACUAGCUAUGAUGUCAAAAAUUUGGAGGAAAGGGGCCCAGAAGAUGAACUAAAGCAGUGGGCAGUUUCACUCAGCAGACUAAGCUGAGCCUUAGUAUUUUUGCCAAAAGGCCCAGAUUUGAGUAAAGGGGAGCAUCGUGAGCACAGUAUCGGGGCAUAAGGGCUGCAGUCUGUGGAGCUUUGGCAG